ACAGAUGUGCGGUCUUUAUCUGUGCCUAACAUAUGCCUCCGCUGGAGAUUUUGAUAGCCGGAAGCAUAUCCCCUGUCCGCUAUACCAGGAUCACAGGUGUGCGGUCUUUAUCUGUGCCUAACAUAUGCCUCCGCUGAAGAUUCUGAUGACAGAAAGCACAUAUACCCUGUCCUCUAUACCAGGUACAUUUAUCCCAUUUGCAUUCCAAGACAGAACAUUAAAAGGAUGGGCCAUUCUGUAUCCAAGAAAAGAGAUAAGUUGUCUUAGUUGUAUAUCAUAUAUCUACAGUUAUUAUGGAAUGUUGAGUCCGUAACAAUCCAAUAAUAAUAAACAAAAACAUGUAAAUAUAACUCAUGACUCACAAUAUGCUUUCAAUGGGGUUAACCUGAUAACCAAAAUAGAUUAGUAUGGCAGAACAAUUCUGUCAAUGCCCCUAGAGGGGGUCGAACCAUGGGGGCUCCUGUGUAUCUUUUAUCCUGAAGUUGGGUCACCUUCCCAUUAUUCAGGUCUCUGUUAUGUUUGUUUUAUCUGGUGUCAUCUUUUGCCUACUUUUGGAUGUAGAGACUUUAUUCCAGAAGUCCUUCAGAUGGAGAGCAGGAAUAUAGUGGCUGGGAGAAUGUGAUCCAGUCGGUGAUAUCUGGUUUUUCUACGUUGUAUGCUUUGCAGAAUGUUAGGAGGUCCUCCGGUGAUGUUAGAGUGUUGGUCUUUCCUUCUUUAAUCACUUGAAUACUAAAUUGAUAGCCCCAGCGAAAUGUCAGUCCUUUGGUUUGGAGUGCCCCCAGUAUAGGUUUUACCAGCUUCCCUUGCUGUAAUGUGUACCAUGACAAAUGCUGUAAUAAGAUCACUUCUGUAUUCAUACAGUUCAUUCAGACAGUUGGGUUCAGGAUCUUCAGUAGGAUUUAUGUAGAGAAGCAGGAAAAACCAGUCAACAUGAC